AAGCCUUCUCCUCUCUAGUCGCAACCGUGUCCGGCGGCCGGCGCUCAGGGCGCCGCCGCCGGCGAAGUGCGCAAAUGCUGUGCUAGGAACACGCCGCCACGCCAAUGCUGCGCGUUCGUGCCCCAGCCGCCGUGGUCGAGUACCAGUCCUUCGCAGCUCUCGCGGUGCUCGUCGCGACGGGCGAGGAGCCUUGCCGCAGUCGGGCGGCCAGGAGCUCGUGCUCCUUGGUUGGUCCAGCGGCAGCAAUCAGCCUCAGAUUUUCCGCGACCGUGGAGUCCGCGAGCUGUCUCGGGUGCCGUGGACGACGCCAUGGGGGAUCUAUCUCCGGUGGACACCAAGGUUUAUACGUUCGGCUGAUCCUUUCCCCUAUGCAACUUCAUUUGGGUCGUUGGGGCCUUGGGGGUGGGUGGGAUUUAUCACCAUUCCCAUCUCUGAAUGCUACUUCAAUCAUUAUUUAUGCUCAGUCACUACUUUUGUUGCAAAUCCAAAGCUUGAACUUUGAAGAAGUAAAAUUAGGACCUAAUGAUUUGCUUCUGAGAUGUCUAAUUGAGUGAUCCAACAGAUGAGGUGUCUUGAAGGUUUCUGCUGAGAUCAAGUCCAUGCAAAUAAUAGUGAAAGAAAUGACCUUUGACUCAUGGAUGGUGCCGCCAUUUCAUUUUUCUGUUAGUCUACUAGCAGCCUAGGCUGAAGCGUGCUGCUCAGGAGUGCAAUGACACAUUGAGAAGUUGCAAGCAACGCACCCAGGAAGAGGAAGAAACAAGGCAGAGAGUGAACAGUUCCUCAUUUGCCAAACGCAUUGCUCACGCUUCCAAGUUGCUCUUCUCAUCAUUUGUUGGAUCCAGUAAUGAUGAGCUGAGAUGUAUCUUGACUUAUAUCCGAAGAUUCGACAGACUUGUAGAUGGUGCAGAUGAAUUCCUGAAGCUCUUUUAAUUCGGAAGGACCCCAUGACAGCACGUUUUCUUCAACCAUAUCAUCACCUUACAGUUAUAGGGGAGUUUCUCAGGUAUCAAGCAUUGCACAGUAGCAAGUUUUACUACAUUAUUCUACAACCUAUCAGCAUUGCAGAGUGUGGAGGAAAUACUAAGUUUUUCUCCCCAAGACUUAAAUGAGCCUACAAAGAUUUCCAGUUUAGGAUUCAUGUUACAUCUCUGAUCUCUCUGGUAGUACUGACAUACUUGGUGUCAUAGUAAAGUGCAUGCAGGAAGUUGGACAUCACUUCAAGCUUGCAGGUGAAGAUGUCAGUAGAGAACUCAGCAUCACUAAUGCAUUCCAGAUAAAAGAUGCUACCGGAUAAAUGAAAAAGCUUAUGACCUGAGAGUCAAGUUUGUCACACAUUCAGCACGUCUGAUUUUAAUUUCAAGCUCGAUGUGAUGAAUUUUUGUGAAUAAGGAUCAAGGAUCAUAUUUGUACUACGAGGUACAAAAUGAACUUUAUCUUCAGGUAAUGUCCUUCAGAAGGAUUUCACCAUAGAGCAGUUACUAGCAUGGCUUGAGCCUAUCACCAUAUCGAUCAUGCAUCUAUUCACUGCACAAGAUUAUUUUCAUCAUAAUUCUAUUGUAAUUUAUGUAGUUGAUCCAGCUUCCAGUCAUGUAGAUUUUAAGAUUUUUGCUAACAGCAAACUGAACUUUCCUUUUCAUUUAACACUGGUUGACAGAUUUCAGUAGUCAUUGCAACUUUGAUAGGUCUUUAAGAGCAUGAAGUUCACCUUGUCCCCAUGUACCUUCUCAAAACGAACUAAAGGACCAUCUCGUGUUUUCCAGUUGCAACCAUCUAGAAAUUGUCAAUCUUAGGUCACACGUACCAUAACUGCAUGAAGAAUAUAUAUGCUUCUUCAAUGUCUGAAAGAAGAAAAAACCUAGCUGACCAUUUUCCACAUGUGUUGUCCAAUGUCUGUGUGCAUGUUUAUGUGCAUUGCACCCAUUGUAUUUGUUAGCGAGUACUUUAGCCUGGCCCUAUAGGGCGUUGGUAGCAGGCAGCGCCGGGUCGCCUGCCCUCUGGACGUGCGCCUCCGGCCUUGCCCUUCAGGGGAUGCAUAGAUGGAUACGGAUUCGGAAAGGAUCUCCUUCGGUUAGGUCUAUAUAUGUACACAAGCUUUGCCUCUCCAUAAUCAAUCUAUUAUUUUCCCAAGCCAUAUUUGCUUUCAGUAUUUACGCAUAACAUGGAUUACUUCUCAAUAUAGUGAUGGGCAGCCCUCCUGCCCGUUUAAAGAAAAAAAAGUUCUAUGGUACUGCAUCUCAAGUCUUAAUUAAAAUCCAGCGGCCUAUGAAAUAUUCAAAAGGAACUGAUUGAGCCUAAUAAUUCAAAUCCUUCCUUUUAACUAAAUCCCCUUCCUUUUCUAAUGAAGUCUAACAUUCUUGCUAGUGACACUUUCCUUUGACUUUCAUCUUCCUCCUAGAUUCUUAGACACCCUAUUUAAUUUUCUAUGAUCAGCUUACAUCUUCUGGUUAUAAAGAUAACAAACAUUGAUACCUGCUAAUGAGCAUGAUCUUGCACUCAACUAAAUCUUCACCUCUGCCCUACCAGCAACUACUACAACCACGGUAAUUCAUUAAUCUUUUCUAGCAAUACAUGUGCUCCCAGAUUCACUCAUGUAUGUUGAUUUAUUAAGAGUAAUGUUAAUCCUCUUCCAAGUGCAGAUUUUUCGUACAUUGUUGAGCCCAUCAUGACAGAGAUGGUGACUUCUUCCAAGUUCCUCUUCCACUACUGUGUAGAUGAAAUGUUUUCAAACUGCAAUUUCCCUAUCGUUGAUAGUUACUGAUAGAGAUUGAAAUCACGCAAAAUGAUCAAUGCAUUCAACUGAGAAUUUAGGAUUACAUAUAUAGCCCAGGAUCAAGGCAAUCUCAACCACCUUGUUUAUAGAAACAGAAUCAAGGGGGGAGAUUACCGAUAUGGGCCGAUGUGUGAUUAACGCAAGCAACAAGCCAGGCAACAGCCGUGGUGUGCAAGCCUAGCUAGGUUGCUAACACCACACUAACACCUCCAUUUUCACAUGACUUGACACACCUCUUCGUCUUUUUUUUCCACAUGAUAGCGUUGUUGGCCAAAUAUAUUCAAACAUGUAGUGAAGUGGAAACUCUCAUCAUUGACUUAAGGCCGUCUUAAUACUAAACAAUAUCCCUUGGAGAGACCAAAGCUAAACCCCCCACUAUUGAAGUCGUCUAACGUGGCCAUCACUUUCUUCUCACUCUUUAAGUUCUCAAUCUUUCCCUUGCAGUAAGCAGGUUUACUCUCAAGAGUACACUGGAUAGCUGCCUACCUCCUCCAUGCCAUUCAAUUAAAGGGAAGGAACACUGCUUGAACUCUAAUGGCAAAGAUAGUCUGUUCUGCAAUUGUCGAGGAGACUGUUAGCCAAAUCCUAUCUGGUCUUGUUCAAAAAUAUGAGGUGAAAGAGGAAUCAAAUUCGAGCAGAAACUUGGAGAGGCUAGAGAUGGCACACAUCAAGAUGGAAUCUGUGCUCCACAUGACCGACAAAUGGCAAAUCACCAAUGUGCCACUGCUACGGUGGCGGAGCAAGCUGAAGCGUGCUGCCCAGGAGUGUGGUGAUACGUUGCAAAGGCGCAAGCAGCGUGCCAUAGAAGAGCAACAGAUCAGGCAGCGCGUGAGCCAGUUAUCAUAUCCCAAGCGGAUUGCUUAUGCUACCAAGUCAUUCAUCUCAUCUAUUACUCAAUCUAGUAAUGACGAGUCAAGAAGUAGUUCUACUGAUGUUGUUCAAAGAUUUGAGAGGUUUGCAGAUGGAGCAAAUGAAUUCCUUAAAUUUGUUGAGUUCAGUGGAACCCCACGGCAGUACAUGUUCUUCAACCAUUUCAUCAGCAAACUUCUUAGAGGGAAUUCUCUUAGGUACCAAGCAUUCCAAGGAAGCAGAUUUUACUUCUUAGGCAUACGACCCAUGAGCUCUCCGGAUCGUGGAGUAGAGGCGAUGGUAGGCUUUGUUUGCCAUGACUUCAGGGAGCUUACAAAGGGUUUCAGGCUAGGACUCAUGCUACGUCUUUCUGAAAGUACAGAUGUAUUUGGUGUUAUAAUCAAGUGCAUGCAGUCAGUCGCACCUCACUUCAAGUUUGCAGCUGAAGGUGUCAAGAGAGAGCUCAUCCAGUUGCCUACCCAUGAUUUCUUGGGUAACACAAUCUCCUUAUGGUGAAAGUGUAUCCUGGUUCAAUGUCCACAAAACUUUGACUCGAUGGUUUCGUCCAAACCCUCUCUGCUGCAAUCAGCAUGAGCAGAAUUUGAGCGUUUCAUCUAUUACCAACAAGACAUCAGCUUCAUCGUCGAGACUAUUGUCAAGUAUAUUUCCAGAGGAGGUUAUUGCAAUGAUUUUGCAGUGCCAUGUCUCACUAUCUGAUGAUCAUAAAUACAUUCAAAGUUCUGGUGUUGAAUGCAAAGGAAGUAGUUCAGUGAAUUCAGAUAUGCCUCCCUUAAAGCUAAAAGUUUUGUUCUUACCACAUGACUCCCUAGAGGAUAUAGAGCCUGAAACAGAGCUAUGCCUUGGAAGUGAUUGGUGAAGAGGUGCAGGAAAUGGUUCACAAGAAUGCGUGCCUACAAGAUAUCAAUGAGAAGUUGCUGCCAAAAGCCAUAGAUUACCUCUAUCAAAACAAAGAGUCAAGGAUGUAUCAAAUGUGUCUGAAGUCUAGACAUGGCACAGCGAACCUUUGUGUGGAGAAGACAAGAAAGCGUCGAAGUAAAGCCUCCAGAUCACGGAUUUGGGAUAAAACUGUUGUCCAACAGCGAGAUAAUUACAGCAUUGCAGGAUGGAAGAAGGUGGCCAAAGACGACCUACUUAAGCUUUGGGUUGUGCGUUCAUCUGACAAGAUGGAAGGCUCUAUCUGAUCCUGCGCCGGCCAUGCAUAACUUGAUGGGUCAGCACAAGUGAAAAAUAUAGCUGAUCAUUUCCACAUGUGUAUGUCUAAUGUCUGUGACCCUGUUUAUGUGCAUUGCAUCUUGUACUUGUCCAUGUCAUGUAAGAACUCUCUAUAUGGUGUAAUCUGCUUUGUGAUUUACUUUCCGCACGAUUAUUGUGCUUCCAUCAUCUACCAAGAUCUGUUACUCGA